UACGUAGGCAGCAAGCGUUGUUCGGAAUUACUGGGCGUAAAGAGUGUGUAGGCGGUGCUCUAAGUUCGGUGUGAAAUCUCCCGGCUCAACUGGGAGGGUGCGCCGAAAACUGGAGUGCUGGAGCGCGGGAGAGGAAAGCGGAAUUCCUGGUGUAGCGGUGAAAUGCGUAGAUAUCAGGAGGAACACCGGCGGUGUAGACGGCUUUCUGGACCGUAGCUGACGCUGAGGAGCGAAAGCGUGGGGAGCGAACAGG
rnacentral:rRNA from 1 species